GCACUGGCUUAGCUCAGCGGUUACUUCAUCUAAUUUCAUUGAAGAAAUAUGAUGUUUCCCGUACAGGGAUCGAACCUCGGGCGCAGUCCAGUGCUUUU
ensembl:misc_RNA Vault Vault RNA